GGGGAGUACGGUCGCAAGACCGAAACUCAAAGGAAUUGACGGGGGCCUGCACCAGCGGUGGAGCAUGUGGUUUAAUUUGAUACAACGUCCAAAACCUUACCAGCCCUUGACAUAUGAACAACAAAACCUAUCCUUAACAGGAUGGUACUGACUUUCAUACAGGUGUUGCAUGGCUGUCGUCAGCUCGUGUCAUGAGAUGUUUGGUCAAGUCCUAUAACGAGCGAAACCCUCGUUUUGUGUUGCUGAGACAUGCGCCUAAGGAGAAAUUGCCACCGAGUGACGUGCCAGCCCUACUAAUUGAUUGAGUGCCAGCACGUAGUUGUGCUUUCAGCAAGAAUUUCACCAUUGGGAGCCGGUGCCUUCCGAAGCACUUUCACGUGUGAAACGAAGUCGUCUUGCCCAAGACCCACGGAGACCUACCUAUAGUGACGUCAAAGUACCAGUGAGCAUGGAGGUUCGGUUGAAAUUGGUUACGACGACGUCGACUUGGCGGCGGAGGAAGACUCGUCAUGAAGGCCAGAAAAUGGUGUGGAACGUAGUGGUAAUACUACGCACCCCGCUCCGAAUCAAAGAAAAAAGUGCGUGCCGCACUCAAGAGGGACUGCCAGUGAGAUACUGGAGGAAGGUGGGGAUGACGUCAAGUCCACAUGGCCCUUAUGGGCUGGGCCACACACGUGCUACAAUGGCAAUGAUAAUGGGAAGCAAGGCUGUAAGGCGGAGCAAAUCCAGAAAGAUUGCCCCAGUUCGGAUUGUUCUCUGCAACUCGGGAACAUGAAGUUGAAAUUGCUAGUAAUCGCGGAUCAGCAUGCCGCGGUGAAUAUGUACCCGGGCCCUACACACACCGCCCGUCACACCCUGGGAAUUGGUUUCGCCCGAAGCAUUGGACCAAUGAGCACCCAUGACUUCUGUGUACCACUAGUGCCACAAAGGCCUUUGGUGGUCUUAUUGGCACGGUGGGGUCUUCGACGGGGGUGAAGUCGUAACAAGGUAGCCGUAGGGGAACCUGUGGCUG
rnacentral:rRNA from 1 species